AGCGAAUAGAUACCCAGGUAGUCCACGCUGUAAACGAUGGAUACUAGGUGUAACCGGUCUCGACCCCGGUUGUGCCGCAGCUAAACGCAUUAAGUAUCCCGCCUGGGGAGUAUGGCCGCAAGGUUGAAACUCAAAGGAAUUGACGGGGGCCCGCACAAGCGGUGGAGGAUGUGGUUUAAAUUCGACGCAACGCGAAGAACCUUACCAAGGCUUGACAUCCACAGAACCUGCUAGAAAUAGUGGGGUGUCCGAAAGGAAACUGUGAGACAGGUGGUGCAUGGCUGUCGUCAGCUCGUGUCGUGAGAUGUUGGGUUAAGUCCCGCAACGAGCGCAACCCUCGAUGUUAGUUACCAUCAUUAAGUUGGGGACUCUAACGUGACUGCCGGUGAUAAGCCGGAGGAAGGUGAGGACGACGUCAAGUCAUCAUGCCCC
rnacentral:rRNA from 1 species